UACGUAGGGUGCAAGCGUUAAUCGGAAUUACUGGGCGUAAAGCGUGCGCAGGCGGUUGUGCAAGACCGAUGUGAAAUCCCCGGGCUUAACCUGGGAAUGGCAUUGGUGACUGCACGGCUAGAGUGUGUCAGAGGGGGGUGGAAUUCCACGUGUAGCAGUGAAAUGCGUAGAUAUGUGGAGGAACACCGAUGGCGAAGGCAGCCCCCUGGGCUAACACUGACGCUCAUGCACGAAAGCGUGGGGAGCAAACAGG
rnacentral:rRNA from 1 species